GCUACGGGAGGCAGCAGUAGGGAAUAUUGCUCAAUGGGGGAAACCCUGAAGCAGCAAAGACGCGUGGAGGAGGAAGGUGUUAGGAGGGGAAACGCCAGUUGUUAGAGAAGAUUAUGACGGUAUCUAACGAAUAAGCACCGGCUCACUCCGUGCCAGCCGCCGCGGUAAUACGGAGGGUGCAAGCGUUACUCGGACUCACUGGGCGUAAAGAGUGCGUAGGCGGGGUAAUAAGUCAGAUGUGAAAUCCUGUAGCUUAACUACAGAACUGCAUUUGAAACGGUUACUCUGGAGUGUGGGAGAGGUAGGUGGAAUGCUUGGUGUAGGGGUGAAAUCCGUAGAGAUCAAGAGGAAUACUCAUUGCGAAGGCGACCUGCUGGAACAUGACUGACGCUGAUGCACGAAAGCGUGGGGAGCAAACAGGAUUAGAUACCCCGGUAGUC
rnacentral:rRNA from 1 species